GCCAUUCACAAACUUGCCGUUUGUAUAAGCCAGGAAUGGGCCUGGCGUUUCUACCGGACACCGUGCUUUUCAGCAAAAUGUCCGACUACAGGGGCGUCUAUGUAUUUA
rnacentral:ncRNA from 2 species